GAUAAACGCUAGCGGCAGGCCUAACACAUGCAAGUCGAGGGGCAUCACGUGUAGCAAUACAUGGUGGCGACCGGCGGACGGGUGCGCAACGCGUGAGCAACCAACCUUAUGCAGGGGGAUAACCCGAAGAAAUUCGGCCUAAUACCGCAUGUUUUUGUGCGCAGGCAUCUGCGCGCAAGCAAAUAUUAAUAGGCAUAAGACGGGCUCGCGUCCCAUUAGCUAGUUGGCGGGGUAACGGCCCACCAAGGCUACGAUGGGUAGGGGUUCUGAGAGGAUACACCCCCACACCGGCACUGAGAUACGGGCCGGACUCCUACGGGAGGCAGCAGUGAGGAAUAUUGGACAAUGGGCGCAAGCCUGAUCCAGCCAUGCCGCGUGCAGGAAGACGGCCCUAUGGGUUGUAAACUGCUUUUGGGAGGGAGCAAUACUGCGUACGCGUACGCAGCUGAGCGUACCUUCCGAAUAAGCAUCGGCUAACUCCGUGCCAGCAGCCGCGGUAAUACGGAGGAUGCGAGCGUUAUCCGGAUUUAUUGGGUUUAAAGGGUGCGUAGGCGGAUGGGUAAGUCAGCGGUGAAAUAUAUACGCUUAACGUGUAUCGUGCCGUUGAUACUGCCUGUCUUGAGUGCGAGCGAGGCUGGCGGAAUGCGCGGUGUAGCGGUGAAAUGCAUAGAUAUCGCGCAGAACUCCGAUUGCGAAGGCAGCUGGCCAGCUCGCCACUGACGCUGAGGCACGACAGCGUGGGGAUCAAACAGGAUUAGAUACCCUGGUAGUCCACGCCGUAAACGAUGAAUGCUCGCUGCUUGCUGGGCAACCGGUGAGCGGCCAAGCGAAAGCGCUAAGCAUUCCACCUGGGGAGUACGGCCGCAAGGCUGAAACUCAAAGGAAUUGACGGGGGCCCGCACAAGCGGAGGAACAUGUGGUUUAAUUCGAUGAUACGCGAGGAACCUUACCCGGGCUUGAAAUGGAGAGGGAUACGGGUGAAAGCCUGUAGCCAGCAAUGGCCUCUUUGUAGGUGCUGCAUGGUUGUCGUCAGCUCGCGCCGUGAGGUGUCGGCUUAAGUGCCACAACGAGCGCAACCCUUGCCGUUAGUUACCAGCGUGAAAGACGGGUACUCUAGCGGGACUGCCACCGUAAGGUGCGAGGAAGGUGGGGAUGACGUCAAAUCAGCACGGCCCUUACGUCCGGGGCGACACACGUGUUACAAUGGGGGGUACAGCGGGCAGCAAGCCGGUGACGGUGAGCAAAUCCUGAAAGCCCCUCUCAGUUCGGAUCGGAGUCUGCAACUCGACUCCGUGAAGUUGGAUUCGCUAGUAAUCGCGCAUCAGCCAUGGCGCGGUGAAUACGUUCCCGGGC
rnacentral:rRNA from 1 species